AUGAAGACAAGGAUGCUUAUCAAGUCUGAUCUAAAAUGGAAAAAUGUCUUCGGGUGAGGAUAAAAAAAUAAAAAAAAAAGAGGAUUUUAAAAAAAGAAGAAGAAAGUACACUAGAUGGUACUCAAAGCCCUAUGGAGAAAUAAAUAUCUUAACUAAGGGGUGGCAGAGGGCACUUUGCUUCAGCAGGCUGCCCCAAGAGUGAAGCUCACCUGCUCUUGCUGGUGAAAAGAAACAGGAACAGUGAGCAUAGAAACAGGCUAGGCCUUGGAUACUGUUUGUGGUUGCUGGAUACUGGAGCUGCAGGAGGAGCCCAUGACUUCUCUCCUACCCAACAUUCUGUAUGAGAUGGGAAGCUAGGCUCCCUCUCCAAGCAAGGACUUCUACCACCUGGU